rnacentral:rRNA from 1 species
UAGGGAAUCUUCGGCAAUGGACGGAAGUCUGACCGAGCAACGCCGCGUGAGUGANGAAGGUUUUCGGAUCGUAAAGCUCUGUUGUAAGAGAAGAACGAGUGUGAGAGUGGAAAGUUCACACUGUGACGGUAUCUUACCAGAAAGGGACGGCUAACUACGUGCCAGCAGCCGCGGUAAUACGUAGGUCCCGAGCGUUGUCCGGAUUUAUUGGGCGUAAAGCGAGCGCAGGCGGUUAGAUAAGUCUGAAGUUAAAGGCUGUGGCUUAACCAUAGUACGCUUUGGAAACUGUUUAACUUGAGUGCAAGAGGGGAGAGUGGAAUUCCAUGUGUAGCGGUGAAAUGCGUAGAUAUAUGGAGGAACACCGGUGGCGAAAGCGGCUCUCUGGCUAGUAACUGACGCUGAGGCUCGAAAGCGUGGGGAGCAAACAGGAUUAGAUACCCUGGUAGUCCACGCCGUAAACGAUGAGUGCUAGGUGUUAGACCCUUUCCGGGGUUUAGUGCCGCAGCUAACGCAUUAAGCACUCCGCCUGGGGAGUACGACCGCAAGGUUGAA